AAUGGGCGCAAGCCUGAUCCAGCAAUGCCGCGUGGGUGAAGACGGCCUGCGGGUUGUAAAGCCCUUUAGGCGGGGAGGAACGACCGGACGAUAAGACCGUCUGGAAGCGACGUUACCCGCGGAAUAAGCACCGGCUAACUCCGUGCCAGCAGCCGCGGUAAUACGGAGGGUGCGAGCGUUAAUCGGAAUUACUGGGCGUAAAGCGUGCGUAGGCGGAGGGGUCAGUCGGCCGUGAAAGCCCCGGGCUCAACCUGGGAACGGCGGUCGAGACGGCCCGUCUCGAGUGGGCUAGAGGAUCGUGGAAUUCCGGGUGUAGCGGUGAAAUGCGUAGAGAUCCGGAGGAACACCGAUGGCGAAGGCAGCGGUCUGGGGCCACACUGACGCUGAGGCACGAAAGCGUGGGGAGCAAA
rnacentral:rRNA from 1 species